CGGUGGUCAUAGCGGGGUGGGUCAUGCCCGGACUCCUUUCCGAACCCGGAAGCCAAGCCCCCCAGCGCCGAUGGUACUGCCCCCGGAAGGCGGGUGGGAGAGUAGGACACUGCCGGCAC
rnacentral:rRNA from 1 species